rnacentral:rRNA from 1 species
ACGAACGCUGGCGGCGUGCUUCACCCCUGCCCGCCGAACGGAAAGGCCCUGCUUUUGUGGGGCGCUCGAGUGGCGAACGGGUGAGUAACACGUGAGUAACCUGCCCUUGACUUUGGGAUAACUUCAGGAAACUGGGGCUAAUACCGGAUAGGAGCUCCUGCUGCAUGGUGGGGGUUGGAAAGUUUCGGCGGUUGGGGAUGGACUCGCGGCUUAUCAGCUUGUUGGUGGGGUAGUGGCUUACCAAGGCUUUGACGGGUAGCCGGCCUGAGAGGGUGACCGGCCACAUUGGGACUGAGAUACGGCCCAGACUCCUACGGGAGGCAGCAGUGGGGAAUAUUGCACAAUGGGCGGAAGCCUGAUGCAGCAACGCCGCGUGCGGGAUGACGGCCUUCGGGUUGUAAACCGCUUUCGCCUGUGACGAAGCGUGAGUGACGGUAAUGGGUAAAGAAGCACCGGCUAACUACGUG